CCUACGGGGCGCUGCAGUGGGGAAUAUUGGACAAUGGGCGAAAGCCUGAUCCAGCCAUGCCGCGUGUGUGAAGAAGGCCUUCGGGUUGUAAAGCACUUUCAGUGGGGAAGAAAGCCUUGGGGCUAAUACCCUCGAGGAAGGACAUCACCCACAGAAGAAGCACCGGCUAACUCCGUGCCAGCAGCCGCGGUAAUACGGAGGGUGCGAGCGUUAAUCGGAAUUACUGGGCGUAAAGCGCGCGUAGGCGGUCUGAUAAGCCGGUUGUGAAAGCCCCGGGCUCAACCUGGGAACGGCAUCCGGAACUGUCAGGCUAGAGUGCAGGAGAGGAAGGUAGAAUUCCCGGUGUAGCGGUGAAAUGCGUAGAGAUCGGGAGGAAUACCAGUGGCGAAGGCGGCCUUCUGGACUGACACUGACGCUGAGGUGCGAAAGCGUGGGUAGCAAACAGGAUUAGAUACCCAGUAGUC
rnacentral:rRNA from 1 species